CCUGGCCUCAGUGUGGAUCUCCACGGUUGGUUCUUCCUCCGCUCCUCCCGGGCUGCGGUCAGCGUUCCCUUCUCCAUCGGAAUGAUUCUACGCCAGAGGAGCGACUUUCCUCCUCCUGCAUCAUCCACCUCUCUCUGCUCCUCCACCCUAUCCUCCUGUUCCUCACCGGCUGCUGUUUCCUCUGCAGGCUCGGAUUUAGGUUCAUCACAGGAGUCGAUUUAAAAGGCAUUUAAAGCAGAUGUGCCGAGCCCGACUUCAGCCUCCUUCUCUCUGGUCUGAAUUCUGCAAAUCAGUGAAGUGGGUCUUCAGGAACAGCGAUGGCAUCCUGCACGUCUCGAACUGACACCAUACAAUUGUAGAAUGCAUUCUCUGCUGAAGACGGUG
ensembl:lncRNA